CAACUGAGAGGAGAGGAGGAAUCGCGCACGUGGUUGGAUCGACAGUUCGACACGGCGUAGCGGCGGCAUCGUUUCAUCUCCCAAAAUGAAGCGCGUGAUUCGGUGAUUGUUUCUUUCUCCUCGUCCGUCGCCGCUCCUGCUCGCCUGCUCCGCGUGACUCCGCGACCGGCGACCACGCCUGACAUCUCCGACUACAUCCCGUCGUGCGCACGUCGCCGUUCGCCCGCGGACCGCCACAGCCCGUGCUCAACGCGGCGACCGCCCGGCGCUCGCCUGCCGACGCCGCCCGUUUCCCACGCACUCCGGCGACUCCGCGACCUAUGACAGCCCUAAAUCCUAUCAUCCAAUCCACCACUCCCCAUGCAGGGCAGUCUGGGCAGUGGCAGCAGCAAGCUGGCCGGCAAUGGCUGGAUCCACGAGCUCGCCGGUUUGCCCUCAUUGACUCGUCAAAUCUGCCUAGUGACCACAAGUGCUUCUAUCAAAAAUCACAUCCGAUAGCCACCACUUACAGCAAGUGGUUUAUCGGUUCAUGAAUAUAACCACCGCAAAUUUGAUAAAUAUCAAUAGAUAACUGUUUUUAUUUAUGUCAAAUCAUUUCAUGACUUAUUGUUUGUUGAUAACUAAACUAUGCCUCUCUUUUUUAAGGUGAUUGUUGCAUGGAGGAAUGAAAAUGGUGACAUCACAUUUUGCAUGAUAUAUUCAUUUGUUUUGGGUAUGGAGCCCAUGACACAUUAUUAACUUCAUAUAUAUUAUUAUCAGUUGGUUUCUUCA